AACGAACGCUGGCGGCGCGUCUUAAGCAUGCAAGUCGAACGGCAAGAGAGGAGCUUGCUUCUCUCCUAGAGUGGCGGACUGGUGAGGAACACGUGGGUAAUCUACCCUUAAGAUGGGGAUAGCUGCUAGAAAUAGCAGGUAAUACCGAAUACACUCGGCAUAUCACAAGAGGUGUUGAGGAAAGGAAGCUACGGCUUCGCUUGAGGAUGAGCUUGCGUCCCAUUAGCUAGUUGGUGAGGUAAAGGCCCACCAAGGCGACGAUGGGUAUCCGGCCUGAGAGGGUGAACGGACACAUUGGGACUGAGAUACGGCCCAAACGCCUACGGGAGGCAGCAGCUAAGAAUAUUCCGCAAUGGACGGAAGUCUGACGGAGCGACGCCGCGUGGAUGAAGAAGGCUGAAAAGUUGUAAAAUCCUUUUGUUGAUGAAGAAUAAGGGUGAGAGGGAAUGCUCAUCUGAUGACGGUAAUCGACGAAUAAGCCCCGGCUAAUUACGU
rnacentral:rRNA from 1 species